UACGAAGGGGGCUAGCGUUGCUCGGAUUCACUGGGCGUAAAGGGUGCGUAGGCGGUCGGGUAAGUCUGAUGUGAAAUCUCACAGCUUAACUGUGAAACUGCAUUGGAUACUAUCCGGCUCGAGGAAUGGAGGGGAGACUGGAGUACUUGGUGUAGCAGUGAAAUGCGUAGAUAUCAAGUGGAACACCAGUGGCGAAGGCGAGUCUCUGGACAUUUCCUGACGCUGAGGCACGAAAGCCAGGGGAGCAAACGGG
rnacentral:rRNA from 1 species